CUGUCUUCACAUCUUCCCACCCCAGGCAACAGCAGCUUUGGGACCCAGAGGAGUUGUUCCCUGGUUUGUGUCUAUCUACCAGAGGAAGGGGGCUUAGAGCACCCAGUUUUGAGAUGAUUGGAGAUGGUGAUCAGUGAGAUGUGUUUAUGCUGGUGGAGCCGACUGUGCUGACUCAGUCGGCCUGGGUGAAUGCUGUCCUGGCCUUCCUUUUGUUCACUUAAGGAAAAUGAUGUCAGAGUGCAGGAUAGGCUCCCAGCAGGAGAGCUAAUGCCAGGGAGAUGGUUCAUUGGAUGCUUUACUGAACCUCAGCUGUUCUCUCCAGCAACCUUGGUGUGACAGGGAGCAAUUUGUUCAGGUAAUGGCGCUUCAGUGGGCCUCAGGCCAGACCUCUCGUCCCUGCAGACCACCCUUCCAGCACUGAAAGACAAUAGGGUCUCCACACUGGCUUAAGCCUGUCUCCUCUCAACCUGAAAAAUCUGGCUCACUUCUCUCAUUACACACAGAGGUGUUGGCAGCUGGAAGAACCUCCCUCGGAGACGCUGGAGGCCAGUGUCUGGAGAUGUUUUAAAUGGCAGAGCUUGGUUCCUGCAGGGUAAAACUCCCUCCUGCCAUAUACUGAACAUACAGCAGAGUGACAAAUCAACUCCUGACACCAAGAUUAAUGUUGCUGCCAAUUAAGGGACACUAAGGGAACCCAGACCAGGAGGUGAGUCAUCAUAAAUGAGCCUCGUAGCUGGCCCUGGGCUGAUACUCUGGUACCUGGACCAGGUACUCUGCUUACUGCCACUGCCAUGGUGACAGACCCAGGCCUCAGCUACAGUGGAUGACAUGCCCUGGUGACCCCAUUCCUGCUCUCUGCUCCUUUGGCUGGUGAAACAGGAGCUUGGAGGAAAGCCUGGGAGGAGAACUGAAGGGAAGCAUUGCUCCCUCCCAAUAAGUACGAUUUCCUUAAACCAUGAGGACUGUCAUCCACCAGCUCAUCACCUAAUGGACAUGGGAUGGUAGAAGGAGAUGUGGGGGAGGCAGGCUUAACUGGGCUGAGACCAAGGCUGGAAGGGCCCAGAAUAAGAAGCUACAGGUAACCAUGUAGCUUGGUUUUGGGAGCUGAGAUCAGUUUGCUGGAAACCUUGGACAUAAUUUUGAAAAGCUUGCAUAGGAUUCUGGUAUAAGAGCUUUAAAAUAAGUUUGUUGUUUUAAAACAUCACAGAGGCAAAAUAUGUUCAAUGUUUUAAAGUAAGAAAAUAAAAGUUUAAAUGAUCAAACAUAA